UGGUUUGGACCACAGAAGCUCCAGCACUUUACCUCUCAUUGAACCAGACCUCAUCUCCACCCAUUUUAUUUGCAACACAAUGCAUCAGUUAUACGCUAUAUUGCAUCUGUGCUAUUACUGUGAUGGUGUUUUUGUUUCAUUGCUUUCAUGGAAUCUCCAAAAGAUGCAGGAAAAAGAGUAAAACAGGUGAAAUCACUUUGGAGGUGGGUGACACUUCUAAUCCAGACAGCGGACCAAAAAACAUAAAGGCAAGUACAGUGGAGUAACAGCAAAA